GGACUACUGGGGUAUCUAAUCCCAUUCGCUACCCACGCUUUCGUCCUAGCAGUGUCAGGUGGCACCCAGAAGCCUGCCUUCGCUAUUGGUGUUCCAAACGAUAUCAACGCAUUUCACUACUACACCGUUUGUUCCAGCUUCCUCUUUGCCCCUCUAGUUUUGAAGUUUCAAAGGACAGUCACGAAGUUGAGCUUCGUGAUUUCACCUCUGACUUUCAAAACCACCUAUCGGUACGCUUUACGCCCAAUGAUUCCGGAUAACGCUUGAGGUCUCUGUAUUACCGCGGCUGCUGGCAC
rnacentral:rRNA from 1 species